UAUAGAUAUUAACCGCUCUAACUUUUAACGUGAGAGCUCCGUUGCUAAAAUUUACUUCGCAAAUAAUAGUAUAGAUUAUAAAAUAUUCAAAUAUGCCAUUCAUCAGAUUAUAAGCAUACUACUAGAUUUGAUAUGUGCUUCAAAAGGGCAGAUUUUUUAGAUUAUAAAUAAAUUUUGAUAUGAAUUAGUAUUUUGGAACUGUUGUGCAUUAUUGUGUUACAAAUUCAGAUUAUAUCGAAGAAGUGAAUUUUUUAAAUAAAAAUAUAUAAGUUAUGAAUUAGUUUAUUUGAGAUUGUGUAUUUACACUGUUAUGUAUUUCUCUCCUAAACAUGGAUAUUUUAUCCGGACCCAAAAAACAAUCUGAAACCGAUCCGAAAUCCAGGUUCUCUUCGGGGUUGGGUCAAGGGAAAAGUACCUAUUGUGUAUUUUGGACAUGCGGGUCUUUGUUCGAGUACGAAUCCUAUCCGAGAUUCGAUUGGGUAACCAAAGUACCCAAAAUGUUUUGUGUUAUUAAGUAUAUUUGGAUCUUUUGAAUAUAUUUUUGGUAUAACUGAUAUUUUGAAGUUAUGGGUUCAGGAUUAUAGUUUUGGGUUUCGAGUAAAAUUUCAAGAUCUAAAAAAUAUAUUUUGGGUAUGUGUAUAAAAUUUUAGGUAUUUUUUGUUUUCUUGGGUCAGGGUAAAUAUUUGUAUUUUUGCAUAUUUGAAUAUUUUUGGGUAAUUUUUGGAUUUUCAGAUAUUUUUUGGUGUUUUUAGCAUAUUUCAGGUACUUCGAAUCUUUUCGGGUCUUGAAUCCCUGAACUGAUUUGUUACGUACCCAAAAGUCCAGGUAUUUGAAUUAUGAACUCGGAUCCACACGGACCUGAAAGAAACCUACCCGAAUCUAAACCAAAAAUGAUCAGAUACCUAGUUAGGUCGAAAAUUCUAGGAUCUGUACGUAAAACCCGGAGCGAAAAUGAACCAGUCCGUACUUGAUCUGAAAACCCAUAUGCCGAAGCCAACUCUCUUUCAUUAUAUUUUGUAUGCGUUUUAUAAGAGUUGCAUUGGUUGAGUUGGUGAAAUUUAAGAUUUGCUUAACAUAUAUUUGGCUAAUUUAAUAAUAUAAAAUAAUAUAAAUUUAUAUGAUUUUUAAUAUUUUUAAACUUAUAUUAAAUAAUAAAAUUUUAGUUAACGUAAUAUAUAUAAUUUUUUAACAGAGUUUUCUAAAGUGUUUUUUUUUAUCAAUUUUGAUUUUGUAAAUAUUUGAUAUCUAAAUAUUGUAGGUCUAUUAUUGAGUAUAUGAUUAUUAUUUUUUGAAAAUGGGUUUUCAUUUUGAGCACAUGAUUCAUAAAAGCUAUCUUAUUUCUGAAAGAUCUCACAUUAAAUAAAAGUUUUUGUAAGGUUAAGAUGAAAAAAAUCAAAAUAAACGUUUUGAAAAGAUCUUGAUUAAAGAUUUAACAUAUCUCAAAUUUUUGAGUCAAAUGAUAUACCCAUACUUUUGUUUAACAAAACCGACAGGAAUACGUGGACUUGAAAUAUUUUAACAGAAUAAAAAAGUUAUGUAUGAUUGCAGCUGAUAUUUUUUUGGUUUGAAGUAUUUUGUAGUGUGGUUAUGUGUGGAUUUAAGUGAAAGAAUUGAUCAAAAUAUAAAUUCUGAAAUAAUUGUUUCCUUUUAUAAUUAUUAUAUUUGUGAAUAAAUAUGUUGAAGAACAAAUUGAUAAUUCCUAGAGACAUAUAUUUGUUAAGUUUCUAGAUUGCAUUGUAAUCUCUAAUCCAAAAUUUUCUUAAAUUUUGAAGGGAAAACUGUUUUUUUAGAGUAAAAAAAUGGUAAGUAUGUUCCUUUAGACUAAUCUAUACUACUAAUCCAUGCUUCCGUGUAAGUCGUCUAGAAAAAAAUCAAAAUUUAUGUUUUAUUUUUCAAUUGCAACACUAACCUGAGACGACUUCUAGAUAUAACAAAAAUAUUUUGACAACUUACAUUGAAAUCGUCUAGAUAUAACUAACCUGAGACUACUUACAUACUCAUCUAUGUUAUAGACUAUUCAAUUUUAUUAUAUUUUAAUUUAUAUCACUUAAAACUGUUUAUAAUUACAUGAUUUUAAUUUUUCACUUGUCAAAAUAUUUUUUUUAAAAAUUAUAGAUUAUUUUUAAGAUCAAGUAUACCAGAAGACUUACAUGGACGUCAUCUAGACGAUGUACAAUAUCUCAGAAGCCUCAUAAGACUUUACGGGGCUAUAUUUGUAAAAAUGAGUUCUGUUUUUUGUUUGGUCACAAGGGACUGACUGUAAUUUCACAAGACUUUUGGGUUAUUUUGCACUUGAUUCAAGUUUGGAUAUACUUUUGCAAUUAAAGUCAAGUUUUGAGUCAUAUUUGGAAAAUUUCCCAAAUUAUUAUCAUUUUUCAUAAAUACCUUAAGUUUGUUAUUAAAUGACAAAAUUAACCCUCCCAAAACAUUUAUAAAUGUAUAAGAAUUAUUUAUAAAGGUUUAUAAACUAAACUUCACCACCUAAAUAUUAAAUCCAAACAAUAAUCUUAAACACUAAGCUCAAAAUGUUAAGAUAUCUUUUAUUGAGUUUAUUUUUAAAAAUGGUAUCCAAUUUACUGUAUUUCAAGCACUUUUUCAAAUAAAAUUUUUAUUACAAAAUUAUUUCGCAAGUACAAAAUGUUAUAGUUUCUUUUUUAAAAAAAUAAGUUUUGUUGUUUUUAAUAGUAUCCAAAAUUUUCUUCUCUGUCAUGUAGGUUCAUUUUAAUUUAAUUUACAUAUAAAUUUCAAAUUUUAGAAAUAGAACAUAAAAUUAUUUAAAAUAGUAUUUUUACAUAAUACUAAUGCUUACAAAAUAUUUUUUCUUACAAAAUACAAAAAAAUGUAAAAUAGUAUUGUUACAUUAUAACGUUAUAUAAAUUAUAAUAUUUUAGUAUAGAAAGAAAAACCCUCACGGAUGUAUGGGACAAGAUCUAUUAAUUAGUUAAAAAUGCAUUAAUAACCAAAAUUUAAAAUAUUUUUUUAAGAUGUGUGAAAAUUCUAAAACUUAUAUUUUUGGAACAUGGGAAAUAUAAAAUAGAUAAUCACAGAAAAUUAUGAAUUUAUAACUAAAAAUUAAUAUGUUUUAUUAAUAUGUGUGAAAAUUAUAAAACAAUCAUUAUUUUAAAAUAGAGGGUAUGUUAAUUUGAUUAUAAAUGCAUUAUUUUUUUGUAACUUAGGUAUUUUUACAAAUUUAGCCAAUAAAAUUUUAAUAAAUACAAUUAUUUUUUUCAAAGUUUACAGUUCACCAUUAUUACCUAAUAAAAGUAUAUCGUAAAUGUAAAAAAAAAAUACUUUUUAAAACAUUUUUUUCUAAAAUAUAGUUUGUUUUUAAACUGAGAGAGUAUACAUUUAAAAGAUUUUGUAGAUGUGUCACGGUUAUAGUUUUGUGCAACAUGGAAGUAGUAUGCACUAUGCAGCUCUAGUGAUAUGGAUAGCGUAAAAAACAGUUGAAAAAGUUAUUAAACCCAAUAAGUAGCAUUAGCAUAAUCCAUUAUCACCAAUUACCAAGUUGACUAAAAUUAAAGAUUCUCCCCAAAUUUUUUUUGAAGUUUUCCUUGAUUUACUCAUUACCUCUUCCAUUUAAAUUGCCUUUUAAUAUAUUUUUUUUUGCUAAAUUAGCCUUUUAAUAUUCUUCAUUGAAUCAGUUUCAAAUAUUAACUUUAACGUCCGGCCUCUCUUAUAUAUAACUAUAUUUAAAAGGAUAUUUCAGUAAAGAUUUCUUGUUUUCAGAAAUUUGUGAUUUUUUUUUUUUUGUAAAAAUGGUUGAAGGAAUAUUGUCUAAGGCAUUUUGGGUUGCUUGUGCCACGGUAUUUGCAGCUGCAACGGUGGUUUACGGGCAACAAGUGCCAUAUUACUUCAUCUUCGGAGAUUCAACUUUUGAUAGUGGCAACAAUAAUAACUUGCAAUCUAAGGCAAAAGUUAACUAUUCACCUUACGGUAUAGACUUUCCCGGAGGCCCGACCGGCCGGUUUACCAAUGGCCGCACUAUCGCAGAUGUUAUCGGUUAGUCUAUAUAUGGUCUCAGGUUGAGUAACUUUACAUUAAUGAUCUUCGAUAUAUUAUUUCAGAAUUUAGAUGAAAGACAUGAACAAAUGAAACAAGGGGAAAUUUUACUUUUACACUUUGUUUGAUACCAUAAUUCAACUUUACCAUCACUCUAGAAACAUUUUCAUAAAUACCUAAAUCAUUAAUGGCCAAAUGACUAAACUAACCUUUUUCAAUUUAUCUCUGAUUUUUCCAAUCUCGUCUUCUUCGUCAAGCUUCGGUGCCAUCUUCAUCGAGUCUCGCCGUCGCCGUAUUCAAGAGGCGGCGCUGCUGCUCCUUCCUCCUGAACAGUGUUCUCUCUCCUCUUAUCUCUCAGCUCCGAUGAAUCCUCCCUCCAGCUCCCGCGAUGACGCGUCUUCAGCAAAUCCCGAUGGUGUCCUUCCUGCUUUCUUCUUCUGCACCGACGACUCAGACAGCUCAGCUCAACCAUGGCGUUCACCUAAGUUUGAAGAAUCCCUCAGUUGCACGUGGUUACGAUGGGGAUGGACUUGAGGGUUGUUCCGGCAGAGGAGUGGUGGGAAGAAUGAGGGAGAGAUUCUAGCCUCGAUGGUGAAAGUGACCUAGGCCUUAUGGUUACGGAUUUUCUCGAGAUGGGAGGUGGUGGAAGCGGUGGUGACCUAGGCCUUAUGGUUACGGAUUUUCCGGAUCCUUCUUACCUUUCCGAUAAGAUUCAGAAUAAACGUACAGCAAAGAACAUCAUUGAUUUUGUCAUCUGUACAUAGUUGCUAAUCACAUUCCAAUGGAUAGCACUUGCCUAGAGAAUUGUUUCCAGUGUGCUCUCUUCUGAUGCUUAUAAUGUUCUUGCAACUUCACACCCCUUUGUGGCUGAGGAUUUCCUCACAAUUUCAAGGCUCAUCAAAAUGGUGUAUGAUCACCUUUGUAGCCAAGUUUCUUGCUGCUCUUUAUGCCUUUAUUACUGCAGCAUGUUCGGGUAGCAGUUCACCGAGUGUCUCCUCUGAUUCCCGUGGCUUCAUCUCACCAAUU